CUCUCAACAGCGCCUCACUCUCGACACAGACCCAUAACCAAAACUCACAACUAUCAGUGCUUCCUCACUUCAACCAUAUUUCUUUGUUCUACGUGGUGUUGAAAUCCAUCAGAUCUAAAACCUAGACCUCUCUCCUCUCUCCUCUCCCCGACAACCAAACCAGUUUCUGUCUCAUAGGAUUGAUGGUGAAUUCAUCCCAUCACUCUCACUUCAAAACAGACCGGAGAGAGCCCUAGAUUGGAAACCCUCUCUUCUCCGAUUCUUCGAGUCCUCUUUCUCUUACAUAAUCCAAGGCGGCCUCUUUAUAUAUGAGCAGAAGAACCCGAAGCUCAAGCUCCUUCGACCCCAUGAACGGGUCAAGAAGAUUGAGUUGGUGCCUAGCAUAGAUGACGAAGAACCCCAUCGCAAUUGAUUCUCUCCCGAAAGGAUUUCAUAAGAGAAGGACCUUCCCCAAAUGGGUCUCUCAGAUGUGCCCCAGAAAUGGUUUAAGCUCAAAUCCUCAAAUAGGCAUCUACUAAGUGCUCUGUCUUUUCAUGGCGGUCUGUUUGUUCAUUCUUCUCUUGUUAUAUGUUUUUGUUGUUCCAUUUGCUCAGUUUUUGUGAAAUUUGCUUGACUAAUUAGUUUCAUUAAUUAUUUGAUUGGUUGCUUAGAAAAUUGGAUAGAUAUUUCAAUUCAUUUCAUUUCAUAGUUAAGAGUUAUCCCUCUGAAAGCAAGAAGUGUUCUUUAAUUAUCGAACAUUGUCCAUUUUCUAAUUCUAGAUAAGAAAAUAAAUCACUGAGUGUCUAUCCAUACAAUUUUUCAAUCAGUGAAUGUACAAUAACUAUCUUUGGAAGCUUGAGGUGUUUGGAUAUUCAAAGUUUCAAACUACUUUUUUUUACAUUGGUGCUCAAUUUGGUUGUAUGAAAGCUACAAUUAAUCACUGCUCAAUGUUAAAUGGGUAUUUGGGUUUUUCAGCUGGGUACUUGUGCGAAUGUGAUUACACUGUUUUUAUGGUGUCAAAACCCAUAUUGAACAAGGUCAAGGAUCUGCAAAAGGAUCUGCCUACCUCGUGCAGUGCUGGUAUAGGCUUCUUUUACCCAUCUCUUUCAUGCUUUUAUAUCAAGUUUUACUAUGAAAAAUCCUGAUUUUUGUUUCAGAGAAUAUAUAAAAUGACUAGUUAAUUUUAAGGAAAAUUACUUUUGGUUAAUCAAGUUUACGUUACAAGACAUUUAUCUGGUAAAUGAAUUUGCUGCUUUCAACUGAAGUAUGCGAGGGUGGCUUUAGUGAAGUGGCUAUUGUCCUUUCUUGUAACUUACCAUUAAGUGAAUGGAUACAAGUACAUUGCAUCUGCAUACUAUUUCAGUUUUUCUUGCUCUGGAUGUAAUUAUUUAUGACUCCAAUCUGGAAGGUAGUUUCCUGAGCAUGCAAUCAAGGGACUGUUAAAGAUGAACCAGCAACCUUGCAGUCCAUCAUGGUGAAGCUUAUUCUUAUUAGAAGGACAGGAGACAUAUUGCUAUGGUAUGGUUUUUCUUGCACUUCUACUGUUGUUUAUUUCCAAAUGUAUUACUUGUACCAUGAAGAUGGGAUUGACUAACCAAGAUUGAUUUUAUCGUUGAUUUCACUCACAAGCUUUGUGCCUCUUUGGUGCUUCCUCCUUUGAGGUUCUUAUUCCAUUUCAAUCAUUCUCAUGCAUUUUUCCUGACAAGUUUCACUGGUUCAUUCAUUGAUCGAUUUCUUUCCCUUUCUUAUAGUAAUGGCAUCGGCAGAAAUUAGUGCAUGAACAAAACCAUUUAAGGCCAAUAAAUAUGAAUCAUAUUGAUGACAUGAGGUCGAGCAUUUUCAAUGCCAAGGCUGGAAUUGCUUUGAAUGACAACUUUGUGAAGCUUGUCUCUUGGUAUGAUAACAAAUGGCCUUGUAGUGAAUAUCUACCUAUGCUGAUAUUCUAUUUUUGGAAUUCAUAAGGCUUUGGUUUUAAGUAUGGUGAAUAUGUAUUAUAAAUAAGUUGCUGAUGUCAACAGAAGGUUGCAAAGAGAUGCCUCUUAGUCAAGAAAUGGGAUUCUAAGCCUUACUUUGCAGAUUACUAUUGAUUUCAAGCAGCAAAAAUGGAAGGAAGAUGAGAGUUAGAUAAAAGAGACUUGGUUUUGAUGCAUGGAAUGAACAAAUGACUAUAGUGUUUUUAUGUAUGAAUAUUAGGGAAAUACUCCCUUUUUGAUAUCAAUGUACUGAAUACAUUUUAUAUAUGGUCAGAUUUCAGUUAAUUUGAUUGUUUAGAACUUCUGUAACAAUUAGAAAACAAGAAUAAAUGAAAAGUAUUGUCCAA